rnacentral:tRNA from 1 species
GGGCGCUUAGCUCAGUAGGUAGAGCGUCUGCCUUACAAGUAGAAUGUCGGCGGUUCGAUCCCGUCAGCGCCCACCA